rnacentral:sRNA from 1 species
CUACGGUGCACACGCAUGUCUCUGCCUCAGAGUACAUCUGUAAGUAUCUCUUGGGAUACACUUUGGCUCAAGUCUCAGGCUGUGGGUGGAAACCCUCCAGCAUCAGCAAAUCCUAAACAGAGCAGAGCCCCAGAUUUAGUCACGUUUCCUGCUUUGCCUACACCUGAAGAUAGGUGGUGCUUCUUGUAAUGAUAGUGACCCUUAAUAGACACUAUCAGCUGAGGGCCUGCCAUUGCAUUUUAACUCACUUUAUAUGCAUGGAAGAGAGCGUGUAGGCACUUACUGUUGUUGUUGUUGUUGUUGUUGUUGUUGUCGUCGUCGUCGUCGUCAUUUCACAGGGAAGGAUCCUAAUCUCCCUGCCCUGGGUGUUCACGCCAGUCCCCAGUCCUUCGUGCAGCCUCCUGCACCUCUUUUUCUUCCCCUGUCUCCGUUUCCUAAGAGUCUCCCAGGUGCUACAUCUGAGUGCUUUACAUUAUCUAAUUAGCUCAUUUGGCUUCUAGAGCAACAAGCCAACCCAGGCGCUCGCUUUCCCCACACGACUGCAGCACCCUCAGAAACACGGAGCGGUUUAGAGCUGUAGAGAGAUUGCUUUUGUGCACGCGCAUGCCCAUUAUGGAUGUUCGUGAUGGGCCCUGGGGCUGCUGUUCUUCAAGCCUGAUAUGAGCCUCCAGAUAACUCUGGAGGGAACCUUUUACCCUCAUCAUUACCAUCGCCCCUACUGUUUGUAUCGCCAGUGACCGAAGCGAGGCAGGAAAUAAGGGCAAAUAGAUCGUGUGGAAAGUGGUCACAGAAUCAGAAGAUGACUGCCUUGGGGUGGCGAAUUGCGCUUCAGGCUUCUGUGGAGUUUUGUGAGUAUUCGAUAAAAUGGCUUACCCACGGGAUUGGAACAAAGUCUGUAUCUUCUGUGGAUGGGAAGAAGGAGCCUAACCACAGCUGGUCACUGGGAGGCAACGGGCACGUGUGUGGUGCCCUCUGAAGCCCUAGGUUCUCUGCCGUAUAAAAGUGCCUACAGCUUUAACGGCACUGCUCAAGUAGCUACGAUGAGGCCGGCGAUCGCCCAGCUGCUUCUGCCUCACGAACCGCAGCUCUAAAGAGGCAUCCUCCAAAAUGGGACUACAAUUUUCACCUUAUGCUAGGGAUGCCCUGAACCUGGCACGCACGAUGCCCUAGGCCAGAUCUGUGGCUCAAUGCUUCAAGAGACAGGGUGACGAAGAGUUCGGAACUCCUUCUGCGCGACGCUUUCAGGCCGCUUGUAGAAUGAAUUUGGGUGGCUGUUAGCAGCACCACAUAAUGGAAAGUUUUAUUUGUUCCCCGGUAUUUGGCAAAAUUUGCAGCCCCUCCUGGCCCCUGUAUCCAUUAGUACCUAAUGGCAUCUAUCACAGCAUUAAAUAUCCCAUUAGCAUGGAGCUGCCUCCCAUUUCUAACGGCGCGCUAAAUUCACGCUAAAUUCAUGGGGGUACUUUCGUUCAAGGGAGCAUCAGGAGUUUUGCUACUAAAAUACAAUUAAUGGAGCUGACAGAACAAGCUACCUACACCCUUGAUGUUUUUGGCAUUUACAAACUAUUUUUUUGUCUUUUUUUUUCUUAUACCGCCAUUCUCUUAAUACUCUCAAGUAUUUCUCUGUUGACUGAAAUGAUACCAGAUGUGACCUAUGUUGGAUGUAGGCCACGAAAGCACUAAUGUUCAAAUUUGUCACUUUCCAGCAGAUCUAGAUGUAGGAGGAAGAUCACAGUUCUUGACGUUUUGGUUGUGAGCCUAGCCUUUAACCAUCUCUGCCGCCCACCAAGUCACAGUUCUAACCAUGCUAACACAUGUGUACAUUUGGGUCAUGCUUAUUUUUUCCUUUGGGGAAAAACCGUUUCACAGGACAAGCCCAAGACCUUCACUGUAAGGACUGCCACAGAGCAGAGAGGCCCCAGCCUGCCUCACGAUCAUCCAGACAGGUGAGGGGUGCGUGGGGAAUUUAACUUUGAAAACAGAGUCAGGUGAUUGAACUUGCUAUUCCACAAAGAACUCUGGGGUUCUGGGAUAAACACAUGGUAAUCAGGUUUAGUAUGAGAGGUAGGGAAAAAGAGAAGACUGAAGAUUACAAAAUUCAGUCACAUUUCAAAAUUUUCUGCUACAAUAAUUCACUUUAUGUAGAAUUAAUGUGGCUGAUUGAACGCUUGUGCUGUAAUUUGGUUAUAAUUAACAUUUUAUGGUGAACAGAUUUUACUGUCUCCUCCGUACUGUGAACUCUAAGCCAUAGGUCAAAACCGAAGAUGAAACAGAUAAGCACAAAACACUCUCGCUGAAAUAUUAAUGAGGUUUUAAUUUACUUCUUUAAAAUGCAUCUUUCAUCAACAUCUGUAUAGAAAAUCGCCAUUUUAAUUUUUUUUUUAAUCACGCACGUUUACAGUAGUGCAUCUUCAAACUGUGGUGCACGCGAGCCAUGGUGGGGAGAAGGUUCUGGCGGGUCUGCAGCCUGCCCCGGUGACAGGUAUUGUUCUCACGAAGCAGCAGCGGUUCAGGACAAGGGGCAAGCAUCUCCUCUCUGUUAAAACCAGCGGUGUUGAUGUGGAAGCAUCUCCUCCUCACACAGGCAGAGCAAAGCGGCUGCUAUUCCCUUUGCCACAAAGACCCAGAGAGCAGUGAUCUUUCAUUGUUCCAGUUACUUCAAGGGAGAAGCUCAUGCUCUAAGAGAGAGCAUUAGGGUUUCCAACGGAGUGAGGGCCUGCGGACAAGGGACCUUCAUUCUCUAUUGACAUUGUCUUCAGUAAUGCCUUCUAAGCAACGGUCAUCUAUCCCCCUUUCCUUCAGUGCUUCAGAGAGAACACAGGUCCCCCUUCAUGCCAACCAAGCACUCUUAACAGAAUCAUUAUCUCCAGAUGUUUUGUUAAAUUUUAUUUGAAAUAGGGUCGUGCUAAGUGACACAGGAUGGCUUUGAACUUAUAAUCUUCCAAGUAGCUGGGAUUACAUGCAUAUACUUAUAUGCCUGGCCAAGGGUUAUUAUAUCUACUACCACACUAGACAUUCCGUCUUCUUACUUAUCAUUUCCAAUGUGGCUUAACUCUCUCACUUCAGGUGAGACACAUGCAUUCCCCUUGCUGGGUAAUUUUAUCAUAUUCAAGUUUUCCCCUUUAGCUGGAUUGACCAUGCCUCUGAGUGUGUGUGUGUGUGUGUGUGUGUGUGUGUGUGUAUGUGUGUGUGUGUGUUUUUAUAUGUGUGUUUCAAACUUUACUCUAAUCACACAAUAUCUAUUAUUUAUUUAGUCUACUUGUAAUUGGAAGAAUAAAUGUCUUCUUAUGGAAUAAUUGAUUUAUUGGGUUUGCACUUGACCCUCUGGACAUGAACUACAAAGAGUUACUUAUUUACAUAAAUGCUAUUCUAUUACUAGCUGCUUUCUGUACCUUGUCCCCUAGUGUGGGAUGAGGUAUACUGCUCCAUACCUUGAAAAUGAGCCAGCCUGCAACUGCUUUGGUCAACAGUACAUGGUGGGAGCGACUCUGUGCUGAUUUGGGCCCAGAUUUUAAGGGGCCUACAAGGCUCCUUUCCUCUUACCUUAGCGCAUUUACUCUGGAUAAUCCCAGCUGCCAGGUUAGAUGUUCAACCAUUCACUAUUCACACUAGUCAAGCCACCCUAUCCAAAGUGCUAGGGAUGGUCUGGGACAGGCUCCAUGAGGACAAGUCUGCAGACAGAAGUGCCCUGGCUAUUUGUCUUUAUCGUCGUGAGUCCCCCAAGGGAACCACAGCUAUGAAGAACAGAGAUUGUUCUCCCCCACUUCUCUGUACCUACUGUCUCAACCCACAGAGCUCAAGGACAACCCACCAUCAUUGCCAUUUGAGGCUAGCACAUUAUGAGAUGCAUUGUAAGGCACUGCAGAGAACUGGACCAUUCUCAGACACUAUGGUACAGGCCACGUGCUUGUCUUCGACUCCUUUUUGUUCUGAAGAGAAAAUCUGGACACAAGUCCAUUCUUCUUGAAACUCUGUCAAGGUUAAAAGGAAUUUGGUGGGCUUUUCCCCAUGGACAGACUUAACUAAGCAAGCAAGAAUAUCAGCAUUGAUGCCAAUCCCCAAGGAAGAUACACCUCAUGAGGGCUUCAUUUAUUAAGUGAAGUUUCUUCAGGUUCUCUAACAGAGUCAUUGGAUCACCAGACCUAACAAAUCCAGUGUUUUCCCUGGAAACGUUACUCAAGUUAGUUAGCACAACGUAAGUCUCUUCUGAUUCUGCCAGCCAGACUUCACAAAAGAAUUGUUUACACUUAUUUCAAUUUUUUCUCCUUCUGUUCAUCCCUCAACACACUCCAAGUGUGCCUAACAACUGUGAGGUUUUUUUUUUUCCUAGUUGGAAGGGGAGAAAAUAAUCCAAUGAACAAACAACAAACAAAUAAACAAAAACCCAACUGUUCGUGGCAGUGACAGGGAGAAACUAGAAAUGCAUGAAUCUCAUUUGUAUGAGUUACAUAUUAUCCUUCCAUCCACAACUCUCGGCAUACAGUCAAGAAUUCUCCAUCAUUUAUACCACAUCGGGAAAGCCAGAUCAUUAAGCAUUAGACACUUAAAAAUAACUGCUAUAGAAAAUUAACCUGGACCUUGAUUUAUCUUUUCCAAGAUCAGAUUCCAUGCAAAUCAAGAACUUUCAUGUCAAGAAAAUGCUUCCUACUGGUUUUAAAUUUUAUUUUAAAUUAUCUGAAUGUGUGUGAACCAUAUGCACAUGCUGGCAGGCAGGGUUAGGAAAGGGCAUUGGAUUAGGAAAGGGCAUUGGAUUCCCUAGAACUGAAUCACUGUUCACUUUGUGAACAGUCCAGUGUGAAUGCAGGACACCAAACUCCGGCCAUCUGUAAGAAUAGUAUGUACUGUUCACUACUGAGCCAUCUCCCCAGUCCAGCCCUGUUACCUAGCUUUUAAAAAAAUCCAUUAGUGGGGCUAGAAUCUACACAUAAGAUAGAAUUUUCUCUAGAACCAAAUCUUUAGGCACAAAGGUAACCUUUCACCCCUCGUCAAAGAAGCUUCUUUUUGAAGUGCACAUACAGAGACCGUCAUAGAAAGCCAAGAUUGGUCAGAAUGCAAACAACUGACUGUAGGAUGCCCAACCCCAACUGAUACAUGCACGUCACUACCAAUAUACCUAUGGCUCAGGGAAUACCAAUGGAGGGGGGUAGAUAGACUGUAAGAUCCAGAGGACCAGGACAUCUAACGAGAGAUAGCGUCUCAUAUCUGGCAGAGAAGAUGUACUCGCGAAAUCACAAUACUGUUGUCUAAGCAAGAACAGAGCAAUAGCGCUGGUUGAUAGUCCAGGCAGAUAAGGGAAAUCUCACAAGGUCCUACCCUUAGAUGGAGACCUAUAGGUAAUAAAUGGUUGCCCAGAGAGGGGAAACUAGCUCAAGGGACAAACCCAGGAUUGGUUAUCCAGGGCCAAGUGGUCAACCAUUAGAAAGCAAAAAAAUCACAACACAACACAUAUGAUCAAAAGUAAAUAGUCUCAGCCAUAGGCUGUAUUUACACACACAUGUACCCCCCCACACA